UACAGAGGGUGCAAGCGUUAAUCGGAAUUACUGGGCGUAAAGGGUGCGUAGGUGGCUGAGUAAGUUGGAUGUGAAAUGCCUGGGCUUAACCUGGGAUCUGCAUACAAAACUGCUCGGCUAGAGUAAGGUAGAGGGAAGUGGAAUUUCCGGUGUAGCGGUGAAAUGCGUAGAUAUCGGAAGGAACACCAGUGGCGAAGGCGGCUUCCUGGACCAUUACUGACACUGAGGCACGAAAGCGUGGGGAGCAAACAGG
rnacentral:rRNA from 1 species